AUUGAACGCUGGCGGCAGGCCUAACACAUGCAAGUCGAACGAGUGGCGGACGGGUGAGUACUGUCUGGGAAACUGCCCGAUGGAGGGGGAUAACUACUGGAAACGGUAGCUAAUACCGCAUACCAUCGGAUGUGCCCAGAUGGGCUUAGCUAGUAGGUGGGGUAACGGCUCACCUAGGCGACGAUCCCUAGCUGGUCUGAGAGGAUGACCAUCCACACUGGAACGGAGACGAGGUCCAGCCUCCGACGGGAGGCAGGAGUGGUGAAUAUUGCACAAGGGGCGGAAGCCUGAUGCAGCCAUGCCGCGUGUAUGAAGAAGGCCUUCGGGUUGUAGAGUACUUUCAGCGGGGAUGCGUUACUCGCAGAAGAAGCACCGGCUAACUCCGUGCCAGCAGCCGCGGUAAUUC
rnacentral:rRNA from 1 species